rnacentral:rRNA from 1 species
AAAGAAACCAACCGGGAUUGCCUCAGUAACGGCGAGUGAAGCGGCAAGAGCUCAAAUUUGAAAGCUGGCUCCUUCGGGGUCCGCAUUGUAAUUUGCAGAGGAUGCUUCGGGCGUGGCCCCCGUCUAAGUGCCCUGGAACGGGCCGUCAAGGAGGGUGAGAAUCCCGUCUGGGACGGGGUGUCCAUGUCCGUGUGAAGCUCCUUCAACGAGUCGAGUUGUUUGGGAAUGCAGCUCUAAAUGGGUGGUAAAUUUCAUCUAAAGCUAAAUAUUGGCCGGAGACCGAUAGCGCACAAGUAGAGUGAUCGAAAGAUGAAAAGCACUUUGAAAAGAGAGUUAAACAGCACGUGAAAUUGUUGAAAGGGAAGCGCUUGCGACCAGACUCGCUCUUGGGGUUCAGCGGGCCUUCGGGCCCGUGUACUUCCCCAGGGGCGGGCCAGCGUCGGUUUGGGCGGCCGGUCAAAGGCCUCCGGAAUGUAGUGUCCUCCGGGGCACCUUAUAGCCGGGGGUGCAAUGCGGCCUGCCUGGACCGAGGAACGCGCUUCGGCACGGACGCUGGCAUAAUGGUCGUAAGCGAC